AUUGAACGCUGGCGGCAGGCCUAACACAUGCAAGUCGAGCGAGCGGCGGACGCGUGAGUAAUGUAUGGGGACUGCCCGAUAGAGGGGGAUAACUACUGGAAGCGGCAGCUAAUACCGCAUCCUAUCGGCUAACCCAUAUGGGAUUAGCUAGUAGUUGGGGUAAUGGCUCACCUAGGCGACGAUCCCUAGCUGGUCUGAGAGGAUGAUCAGCACCAUGGGAACGGAGACACGGCCCGGACUCCUCCGGAGGAAGCAGUGGGGAAUGUUGGACAAUGGGGGAAACCCUGAUCCAGCCAUCCCGCUUGGAUGAUGAAGGCCUUCGGGUUGUAAGGUACUUUUGGCAGAGAAGCGGUAUCUGCAGAAUAAGCACCGGCUAACUACGUGCCAGCAGCCGCGGUAAUUC
rnacentral:rRNA from 1 species